ACUAACAAGGAUUCCCCUAGUAACGGCGAGUGAAGAGGGAACAGCCCAAAUUUGUAAUCUGGCCCUUUCAGGGUCCGAGUUGUAAUCUCGAGAACUGUUUUCCGUGCUGGACCGCGUACAAGUCUGUUGGAAUAUAGCUUCAUAGAGGGUGAGAAUCCCGUAUAUGACGCGGACUACCAGUACAAUGUGAUACAGUCUCCAAGAGUCGAGUUGUUUGGGAAUGCAGCUCAAAAUGGGUGGUAAAUUCCAUCUAAGGCUAAAUAUUGGCGAGAGACCGAUAGCGAACAAGUACCGUGAGGGAAAGAUGAAAAGCACUUUGGAAAGAGAGUUAACAGUACGUGAAAUUGUUGAAAGGGAAACGCUUGAAGUCAGUCUUGUACUUGGUUGUUCAGCCUUCGGGUGUAUUCAAUCUUGAACAGGCCAGCAUCAGUUUUAGAUGUCGGAUAAGGGUAGAGGAAACGUAGCAGCCUCGGCUGUGUUAUAGUUCUUUACUUGAUACGACGUCCGGGACUGAGGAACGCAGUGAGCCUUUUGGCGGGUCUUCGGACCUUCUCACUAUGGAU
rnacentral:rRNA from 1 species